UUGUGGGUAACGGCUCACCAAGGCGACGAUCAGUAGCCGACCUGAGAGGGUGAUCGGCCACAUUGGAACUGAGACACGGUCCAAACUCCUACGGGAGGCAGCAGUGGGGAAUAUUGCACAAUGGGCGAAAGCCUGAUGCAGCAACGCCGCGUGAAGGAGGAAGGCCUUCGGGUCGUAAACUUCUGUCCUUGAGGAAGAAGAACUGACGGUACUCAAGGAGGAAGCCCCGGCUAACUAC
rnacentral:rRNA from 1 species